rnacentral:tRNA from 1 species
GGCCCGUGGGGCAGCGGCUACCUCUUCACCACGAAGGUGGGCGGCGCGGUGCUGACCGACGACGGCCGGUUCGCCGCCGGCGCGGUCCC